AACGAACGCUGGCGGCAUGCCUAACACAUGCAAGUCGAACGAGACCUUCGGGUCUAGGGGCGCACGGGUGCGUAACGCGUGGGAACCUGCCCUUAGGUUCGGAAUAACUCCCCGAAAGGGGUGCUAAUACCGGAUAAUGUCUUCGGACCAAAGAUUUAUCGCCUUUGGAUGGGCCCGCGUUGGAUUAGCUAGUUGGUAGGGUAAAAGCCUACCAAGGCGACGAUCCAUAGCUGGUCUGAGAGGAUGAUCAGCCACACUGGGACUGAGACACGGCCCAGACUCCUACGGGAGGCAGCAGUGGGGAAUAUUGGACACUGGGCGAAAGCCUGAUCCAGCAAUGCCGCGUGAGUGAUGAAGGCCUUAGGGUUGUACAGCUCUUUUACCCGGGAUGAUAAUGACAGUACCGGGAGAAUAAGCUCCGGCUAACUCCGUG
rnacentral:rRNA from 1 species